GCGAAGUGGUUGAUGCCAUGCUUCCAGGAAAAGCUUCUAAGCUUCAGGUAACUAGGAACCGUACCCCAAACCGACACAGGUGGUUAGGUAGAGAAUACCAAGGCGCUUGAGAGAACUCGGGUGAAGGAACUAGGCAAAAUGGCACCGUAACUUCGGGAGAAGGUGCGCCGGUGAGGGUGAAGUAUUUACUACGUAAGCCCAUGCCGGUCGAAGAUACCAGGCCGCUGCGACUGUUUAUUAAAAACACAGCACUCUGCAAACACGAAAGUGGACGUAUAGGGUGUGACGCCUGCCCGGUGCCGGAAGGUUAAUUGAUGGGGUUAGCGCAAGCGAAGCUCUUGAUCGAAGCCCCGGUAAACGGCGGCCGUAACUAUAACGGUCCUAAGGUAGCGAAAUUCCUUGUCGGGUAAGUUCCGACCUGCACGAAUGGCGUAACGAUGGCGGCGCUGUCUCCACCCGAGACUCAGUGAAAUUGAAAUCGCUGUGAAGAUGCAGUGUAUCCGCGGCUAGACGGAAAGACCCCGUGAACCUUUACUAUAGCUUUGCACUGGACUUUGAGCUUGCUUGUGUAGGAUAGGUGGGAGGCUUUGAAGUGGGGACGCCAGUUCUCAUGGAGCCAUCCUUGAAAUACCACCCUGGCAACCUUGAGGUUCUAACUCUGGUCCGUUAUCCGGAUCGAGGACAGUGUAUGGUGGGUAGUUUGACUGGGGCGGUCUCCUCCCAAAGAGUAACGGAGGAGUACGAAGGUGCGCUCAGACCGGUCGGAAAUCGGUCGUAGAGUAUAAAGGCAAAAGCGCGCUUGACUGCGAGACAGACACGUCGAGCAGGUACGAAAGUAGGUCUUAGUGAUCCGGUGGUUCUGUAUGGAAGGGCCAUCGCUCAACGGAUAAAAGGUACUCCGGGGAUAACAGGCUGAUACCGCCCAAGAGUUCAUAUCGACGGCGGUGUUUGGCACCUCGAUGUCGGCUCAUCACAUCCUGGGGCUGAAGCCGGUCCCAAGGGUAUGGCUGUUCGCCAUUUAAAGUGGUACGCGAGCUGGGUUUAGAACGUCGUGAGACAGUUCGGUCCCUAUCUGCCGUGGACGUUUGAGAUUUGAGAGGGGCUGACCUUAGUACGAGAGGACCGGGUUGGACGAACCUCUGGUGUUCCGGUUGUCACGCCAGUGGCAUUGCCGGGUAGCUAUGUUCGGAAAAGAUAACCGCUGAAAGCAUCUAAGCGGGAAACUUGCCUCAAGAUGAGAUCUCACUGGAGCCUUGAGCUCCCUGAAGGGCCGUCGAAGACUACGACGUUGAUAGGUGGGGUGUGUAAGCGCUGUGAGGCGUUGAGCUAACCCAUACUAAUUGCCCGUGAGGCUUGACCAU
rnacentral:rRNA from 1 species